UCAAACAGGAAUUCAACAAGAUGGUCCAUCACAUGGUUAGUGAGAAAGAGUUUGAGGAUGGUUGGGCAUGUAUAGUUGAGAAACAUGGACUACAGAAAAACACAUUUCUCACCCAAAUAUAUGAGACACGGAGGAAGUGGGCUAAACCUUACUGAUUGAUGUUUUUUGCGCCAAGAUGACCAGCACGAAGUGGAGUGAAAGUGCAAAUCAUUUGCUCAAAGGGUAUGUGCUGCCAGGAUCCCCGAUGCAUGUCUUAGUCAGGCAAUAUGAGAAUAUGCAAUUUGAUAGAGAUUCGGAGGAGAGUUAUCGGGAGAAGAGAACCAAACUGGUAAGAAAUACAAAGUUUAUGUGUUUGUCGCAUGGGUGGUGUUGUGCUGGCUCCGAACCUACCUAUUGAGAUACAUGCAUAAAAAAUUUACACGAGUGCUAUGUUUGAAAAUUUUGGCGAGAUGCUAUAUGAGGAUGGCUCAUAUGUUAUGAUUGAAGUUGUGCCUCGCUGUGAGUACAUUGCCAGGCAUGUGAAUAAAGAUUCCAGGGACAAAUGGUGCAAAAACAAAUUCAAGUGUGAGUGCAGAAGUUUUGAACAUUUCGGCAUGGUGUGCAGUCAUGCACUGAAGGUGAUGAUCCAGCUUGGUCUACAGGAGUUCCCAGCCAGACACGUGCUGAAGCAUUAGACAAGGGAUGCGAGGGAUAUACUCCCUCCAGAGUUUUUGCGUUACCAGAAGGACGAAGGUCCUCUGAAGUACUCCUCGAGACGACAUAAAAAUCUGUAUCUGCUUUGCCUCGAGAUUUUUAGGCUAGGUGACAGCAACGUGGAUGCAUAUACUCUUGCAAUGGAGCAACUAAGGAAUAUGAAAUUUUUGCUGGAGCCAGUGGCUGCUAUACGCGAUGGUAUGGGCUUAUCCGACAGAGAGAUGGCAUGUGAUUCUGCAGGUUCACCUGCAGCACACAAGCAACAUUUUGGUCCAAUGAAUCAGGUGCAAGGUGCCUCACAAUGUUCGGAUAGCUUUGGGGCGCCAUCAAAGAAGAGACCAGCGGGGCACCCUACGACAAGCCGCGACAAAGCACCAUACAAACAGCCAGCUCUGCUCAAUCUGCCGGGGCCAAGGGCACAAGAACACUACAUGUCCGCAGGGUGCCUAGGAAGUCACCUCGCUGCUCCAGGGGCAGCCUGAUGGGUUACAGAAAGAACACCUGCAUCAAGACACCAAAAGCAGACUUCUACGAGUGAUUAUUAUUUGGUUUUUAUGCUUGAAAUAUGACGCUCGGGGAAAUUCUGCUUUGUGUGGAUGUCGGACUGCUAGUAAUACUAUUCCACCUUUCAAGUGAAUCUCUAUUAUCUGUAGUAUCGUUUGUUGUCAGAGAAUUAGUCGACAGAUGAUGUAUUUUCAGUGUGAAAACCUCUUGUUGUGGGCA